CUACAGGAAGCAUUUUUUUCGAGAAAGCAGCAGGAUGGAGAGGGUCUGCUGGAGUUUUCCCUGGCGCUGAUGAACCUCAUGCGGAAGAUUAGACACGCUGCACCACAUGCUGUACCUAACGCCGAGCUUGCCGUCACCUGCUAGCCCACUCCUGCGGCCCGUACGUGUUAGCCACCAUUCCUCACUCACUCUACAGCUGAACAUGGGCGCGUGCGGUCCAUCUGUUGACGUGUGAGUUACUUAGCUACGAACAUGGAUGAGGGCCCCUUUGAGGGAGGCUAGUCACCUGGUGGUGGGAUCCUGUAAGUACACAUUUGGGGUGUCAGAGUGUUGCUUGUGGUGGGCUGCUGUGCUGUCACUGGUAAGUCACUUUCUUGCAGUGUGUGUACACGUGUGAUGAUUAGCCUAGAACUUAGAGCACACCUCCAGUUAGCCUGUCUCCCUCAGGUAAGCCCCUUGUCUUGC